rnacentral:rRNA from 1 species
CCUACGGGAUGCAGCAGUGGGGAAUAUUGCACAAUGGGGGAACCUUGAUGCAGCAACGCCGCGUGGGUGAAGAAGGACUCCGGUAUGGAAAGCCUUGUCAGCAGGGAAGAAAAUGACGGUACGUGACCAAGAAGCCCCGGCUAACUACGUGCCAGCAGCCGCGGUAAUACGUAGGGGGCAAGCGUUCUCCGGAUUUACUGGGUGUAAAGGGAGCGUAGACGGCAAGGCAAGUCUGGAGUGAAAGCCCGUGGCACAACCACGUGACUGCGUUGGAAACUGUGUUGCGGGAGUGCAGGCGGGGUAAGCGGAAUUCCUAGUGUAGCGGUGAAAUGCGUAGAUAUUAGGAGGAACACCGGUGGCGAAGGCGGCUUACUGGACUGUAACUGACGUUGAGGCUCGAAGGCGUGGGGAGCAAACAGGAUUAGAUACCCUAGUAGUC